rnacentral:rRNA from 1 species
AGGACUAAAUCCCCCACGCUUGUGGUAAAACUCGACUUUUCUCAAGCUUUUGACUCUGUUUGUUGGCCCUCUCUCCUCUCCAUCCUUCGGGCUAGGGGCUUCUCUAACAAAUGGCUAGAUUGGAUUAACACAAUAUUCCACACUGGCAAGAAAACUGUUCUCCUCAGUGGAUCUCCAGGCCCUUGGAUCCAAUGUAAGAACGGUCCUAGACAAGGGGACCCGCUUUCCCCCUUCCUCUUCAUCAUAGUUGCAAAUGUUCUCCAAUGA